UACAGAGGUCUCAAGCGUUGUUCGGAUUCAUUGGGCGUAAAGGGUGCGUAGGUGGCGCGGUAAGUCGGGUGUGAAAUUUCGGAGCUUAACUCCGAAACUGCAUUCGAUACUGCCGUGCUUGAGGACUGGAGAGGAGAGUGGAAUUCCUGGUGUAGCGGUGAAAUGCGCAGAUAUCAGGAAGAACACCUAUGGCGAAGGCAGCUCUCUGGGACGGUACUGACGCUGAGACGCGAAAGCGUGGGGAGCGAACAGG
rnacentral:rRNA from 1 species